AUAGGCACAGGCAAUGACUUUCUCAAUAAGAAUGCCUAAAACUCAGCAAGUAAUGCCAGGAGUUAAUGAGAUAGCAUCAAAUUAAAAAGCUUCUGCACAGCAAAGGAAACAAUUAGGAAUGUGAAGACAGAACCCACAGAAUAAGAUAAAAUCUUUGCUGGCUACUCUUCUGACAGAGGAUUAACACCUAGAAUAUAUAAAGAGCUCAAAAAAACUUUACACCAAAAAAUCAAAUAACCCAAUAGAUAAAUGGGCAAAUGAGCUAAACAGACACUUCUCAAAGGAAUGAAUACAAAGGACCAACAAAUACAUGGAAAAAUGUUCAACAUUAUUAGCAAUUAUGGAAAUGCAAAUAAAAAUAACACUGAGAUUUCAUCGCACACAAUUUAGAAUGGCAGUCAUUAAGAAUACAAAUAACAAUAAAUGCUGAAGAGGAUGUGGAGAAAAAGGAACACAUUUACACUGUUGGUGGGACUGUAAAUUCCAACUGCUAUGGAAAUCUGUAUGGAGGCUCCUCAAAAGAUAGGCAUGGAACCACCGAACGAUCCAGCUAUACCACUUCUCUCUUCAAUUCCUGAAGAAUUAAAGUCAUCAUACUACAGUGAUACGUGCAUACCCAUGUUUAUAAUAGCACAAUUCAUGACAGCCAAACUCUUGAACCAGCCUUGGUGUCCAUCAACAGAUGAAUGGAUAAAGAAAAUGUACUAUAUAUAUGCACAAUGGAGUUUUAUUCAACCCUAAAGAAAAAUGGAAUUCUGGCAUUUUCAGGAAAAUGGAUGGAAAUAGAGACCAUCAUGUUAAGUGAAAUAAGUCAAACUCAGAAGGUUAAGGGCUGUAAUAUUUUCUGUCAUGUGGAAGCUAGAGAGGAAAAAG
rnacentral:lncRNA from 1 species